GACGAACGCUGGCGGCGUGCUUAACACAUGCAAGUCGAACGGAAAGGCCCCCACCUUGGUGGGGGUGCUCGAGUGGCGAACGGGUGAGUAACACGUGGGUGAUCUGCCCUGUACUUCGGGAUAAGCUUGGGAAACUGGGUCUAAUACCGGAUAGGACCAUGGUUUAGUGUCUCAUGGUGGAAAAAUUAUUGUUUUGGUGCAGGAUGAGCUCGCGGCCUAUCAGCUUGUUGGUGGGGUAAUGGCCUACCAAGGCGUCGACGGGUAGCCGGCCUGAGAGGGUGGACGGCCACAGUGGGACUGAGAUACGGCCCAGACUCCUACGGGAGGCAGCAGUGGGGAAUAUUGCACAAUGGGCGCAAGCCUGAUGCAGCGACGCCGCGUGGGGGAUGACGGCCUUCGGGUUGUAAACUCCUUUCGUUAGGGACGAAGCCACACCUUUUUUGGGUGUGGUGACGGUACCUUUGUUAAGAAGCACCGGCUAACUACGUG
rnacentral:rRNA from 1 species